CCCUAGUAACGGCGAGUGAAGCGGGAUGAGCUCAAGCUUAAAAUCUCUGUGCCAGUUUGGCAUGGCGAAUUGUAGUCUAUAGAGGCGUUGUCAGUGCGGCUGUGCGGGGUAAGUUCCUUGGAAGAGGACAGCAUCGAGGGUGAUACUCCCGUUUGUACCUGUGCGGCUUGCGCGUACGACACGUUUUCUUCGAGUCGCGUUGUUUGGGACUGCAGCGCAAAGUAGGUGGUAAAUUCCAUCUAAAGCUAAAUAUUGGUGCGAGACCGAUAGCGAACAAGUACCGUGAGGGAAAGAUGAAAAGAACUUUGAAAAGAGAGUUAAAGAGUACCUGAAACUGCUGAAAGGGAAGCGAAUCGUAUCCAGUGUCUAUAAUCUGCGACAUAUUUCAUUGGCGACAGUGUGCGUGCUUUUGCGUCGGAAGCGGCUUUUGUUGCUCUGUGCUUUUGCUGUGCGCGCUGUUGCUGUUGCCCUGUGUUGCGGUGGGACGUCAGAGUCAGUUCGUAUGCUGCGGGAAAUGGCCGCCGAGGAGGUAGGUCAGGAUUUCGGUCUUGGCUGUUAUAUCUUGGUGGUUUGUUGUCGUGGUUGGGACUGAGGUGCCUACAAUGUGCUUUUGAGUGUGCCGGGUUCUCAUUUGGUGGACUGUUUGGAUAGCUUGCUAUGCUUGUGGUUUUUUCAUCGAGUGAUUGAGUCUGGUGGUAACUUAUUGCCGUUCGGGACUUUGACGAAAUGGAGCGAUUCGGCCCGUCUUGAAACACGGACCAAGGAGUCUAACAUGUGUGCAAGUGUUAGGGUGUGGAAACCCGAGCGCGUAAUGAAAGUAAAGGGUGGCUUUAGCUGCCUGAGGUAGGAAACCUUUGUUCUCAGAGGUGGCACUAUCGACCGAUCAAGAACCUUCGUGGUGAAAGAUUUGAGUAUGAGCACAUAUGUUGGUACCCGAAAGAUGGUGAACUAUGCCUGAGUAGGGUGAAGCCAGGGGAAACUCUGGUGGAAGCUCGUAGCGAUUCUGACGUGCAAAUCGAUCGUC
rnacentral:rRNA from 1 species